AUCCCGGAGGUCCCUCCCAGGCUUGCUGUCCCUCCUGGAGGGUGGUGGCUGGAGGAGGGCUGAGGUGAAACUGUUUUGGAACCAAGGAUUUGGGCUGGAGAGCAGAGUUGAGGCCUUGCCUUUUAGGUGAGCAGUUUGCAUGAAGGCUAAGUUCAUGUACAGACCAUGUCCUCAUAUUUCAGGGCACUCGAGGCUCAAAAAGCCUGUAAGGGAGACAAGAAGAAAUGAUCAAACUGAGCCUGUUUCUUUUCUUUUUUUUGUUUUAAAUAUAAAGAUGGGGUCUCACUAUGUUGCCCAGGCUGGAGUGCAGUGGCAUAAUCACAGCUCACUGCAGCCUUGAACUCCUGGGCUCAAGCAAUCCUCCUGCCUUGGUCUCCCAAAGUGCUUGGCCUGAGCCUGUUUCAGUGUCCCUGGCAGGACAUGGGGAUUGAUCUUGCUAUGUUUCCCAGGCUGGUCUUGAACUUCUGGCCUCAAGCCAUCUCCUGCCUUGGCUUCCCAAAGUGCUGGGAUUACAGGCGUGAGCCACUGCACCCAGCCUGCACUACCUUUCACAGUUCAUAAAGUCCAUUUCAAUGUACCAAGUGCUUUACUGUUUACCCAAAACUGUCACCACCAAUAAUCUCACUUCCUUUUUUUUUACAACAA
rnacentral:lncRNA from 1 species